GCCUCACCUGGGAAAGGCUCUGCCAUUUUCUUAUGGGACUGAGGCUCUGGCGUCAUUGACGUAGGCAUAUCUUUGACAGCACACAUUUAUUCAGGGCUCCCUCUACUUCCUGCAGUUAACAUUGGUGAAUGAACAAAUGAGUAACUUGCAACAUUAUAUCACUGCUCAAAAACAAGAACUCGUUCUAAAAAACAGAAAGGUUAAAAGAUAAAGGACUGAGAAGAUGGCUCAGUGGUAAAGGUGCUUGCUGUGCAGGCAGGAGGACCAGAUUUUGAACCCCUGGAGCCCGUGUGAAAGCUGCACAUGGUAUCGAGAGUCUGUAACCCCAGUGCUUUUCAAGGGACAUGGGAGACAGAGACGGAAGAAUCCUCUGGAAGCUCAUAGGCCAGCAUGCUGUGUGCAUGGCAGCAAACAAGACACCCUAUCUGGAGCAAGGUGGAAGGUGGAGGCCGACACCCAGCACUCUCCUUUAUCUCUACAUGCAUGCUGUGUCCUUUUACUUAUGCACACACACACUUGAAAAAGCUUAACUGCUAGAAAGUGGGAAAGAAAUGAGAGAAAUGAAAUAAAGACGACUGUAAGCUGGGCACAGAAAGAUGGAAUGCUCGCACUGUGGAGAAGUUUCAAAUCAGAACUGAUGGCUGAGUUAUCAGUGUUGUAAUUUUAAAAAGUGGCAUGAGAGAAAGAAGGCCAUGUGAGAGAGCUCAUGUGGAGGGGGUUUAUUAGGAGAAAGGGAGGAGUGGAAGGGGGACCAGCCUUUGGAGACGGGAGCAGCAGAAGAGAGACAGGCAGAAAAACAGAGAGAGGGAGAGAGAGAGAGACAGAGGGAGGGAGGGAGAGAGGGAGGGAGGAGGAGGAGGAGGAAGACGAGGAGGAAGAAGACGAGGAGGAAGAAGACGAGGAGGAGGCAGGCAGGAGCCUUUUAAAGGGGAACAUAGUGAAUGUAACACUUCUUCCCUCCCACACUCAGGAGAUAGGAGAUUGGCAGUGGACACAAAGUGCCCAGAGGGACAAGGAACCACGGGACUGCCAUCCUGGACACACUCACUAUUCUCUCUCUCUCUCUCUCUCUCUCUCUCUCUGAGACAGGGUUUCUCUGUGUAGCUUUGGAGCCUAUCCUGGCACUUGCUCUGUAGACCAGGCAGAGGCAGAGGAUCUCUGUGAGUUCAAGACCAGCCUGGCCUACAAGAGCUAGUUUCAGGACAGCCUCCAAAGCCACAGAGAAACCUGUCUUGAAAGAACAUAGUUUUAACCACUGAGCCAUCUCUACAGCCCUCAAGACUGAAAUGUUAGCAUACAUAGUCAACUGGCUUAUUCUUUCUCCUAACUCUAGAGGUACCAAACAGUGAUUUAUGGCUUAUGCCUAAAUUCAUAAUCUAAAAAAAUAAUUUUAUGUGUAUGUAUGUUUCUGAAUAAAUAUGUGACACAUGCGUUCGAGUGCCAAGAGAGUCCAGAAGAUAAUGUGGGACAGCCUGAAGCUGGAGUUGCAGGAAGUACAGGCAAUUAGUUGUCUACUGCCCAGUGUAGAACAGAACUCAGGGUCUCUGGAAGAGCAAUAAGCAUUCAACCACUAAGCCAUUUCUCCAGCCCUAAUUCUGAUUUUUUUUUUUUUUUAGUUUUUCAAGACAGGGUUUCUCUGUGUAGCUUUUGAGCCUAUCCUGGCACUCACUGUGGAGACCAGGCUGGCAUCGAACUCACAGAGAUCCACCUGCCUCUGCCUCUGGAGUGCUGGGAUUAAAGGCGUGAGCCACCAACAAACACCUAGCCCAAUUUUUGGUUUUUAACAAGUUCCCAUCUAGGUUAUUCUUUCAGGUUCUCGAUGCUUUACCAAGCACCUCUGGUUGAAUUAUGUAAAUCUUCCACUAGCUUGAGCUUUGAGUGGUUCAGUUAGCCUUGUGCCCAAAGCAUGGAGCAAUGUCCGACUUUCCCUUUUGAAACAGGGUACCACAACUGACCUGGAAUUUACUAUAUAAUCCAGGCUGGCUUCAAACUUCUGAUCCUUCUACCUUGCCUUCCUAGUGCUAGGAUUAAAGCUGUGAACCA
ensembl:lncRNA